CCACAUAAUAUGAUCACUGAGUAAUAAUGAGUUGAACAUCUCCCCAAUGGUUCUAUUAAGGCUUACAUCAAAAGUUACAUCACACGAAUUGCCACUAGGCAAUGUCACACAUCCUAAUAGGGUUCAAUACCAUUACUUUAUGAAAAUUAAAAAUGCUCAAAGCAAGUUUAUUCUAUGAAUACAUUAAUAUGAAAUAAGAUGAAAGGAUUUUGGUCCUAAUAUGUUAGCCCGGGGGACAGGAGUAAUGAUUAAUAUGGUUUAUUAGGAGCAUUUGCAUUUCACUACAAAAGUUAAAAAUAUUGGAUUUAUGAAAGAUGAAGCACCGCAAAAGCAUGUGCCAAUGAUGCUUUCAUUAAUCAAGAGUGAAAUAUGGGGGCUCAAAUAAUAUCAUAUACCAUCAUCAUAGUCUUAUUCAUAAACGAUGUCAACCAAGGAUAAUAAUAUGUUGCUUUAAGGAUUAUGUUAGUGCCUUUUGAUAAGUCAGAGUGAU
rnacentral:ncRNA from 1 species